rnacentral:lncRNA from 1 species
CAUGACACUGCCACUUAAGAAAUACACUGCGUCUCUGAAGAUUGCAAUCCCCACUGUGAAGAAAGAACAGGUGCUGCACCCGACAACCCACUCAAUCCUGCAGGACAAACCUCCUAGAACUGAUAAAUAUGGACUCAUUUAACCUUCCCAAAUAAGUUGAUACUCAAAAGCCGCCAGCUCGUCAUUUGCACAUCAAAAGGGAGUACAGCUGCACUCAAGCCUUUAACUGCCCUGCAUCAGUCCCUCGCGGAUCUUUGUGAGGGUCCACUCCCUGCUUUCUAGCCCGAGCAGCACUCAGAAAGAGCCCAUAACGCACGGGCAUCUUCCUCCCCACAAACCGCGACUCCAGGGACCGAGCUGCUGACGAAGGGAAGGUAGGUGUGGAGGGGAAACGACGGACACCUCCCACCCCCGCCCCCAACCCUUCUCCUUCCCUAGGCUUUGGCCCCUGCCCUAGGCAAGGAUGCGCGACGCCGAGGGCAGCAGCGGCGCAGCUCCGCGUCCCGGCUGGAGAGGCGGGCGCCCCUCACCCUCUGCCCGCGCCCCCGGGGCUGCGCCAAGGCAUCCGCCAGAGCGUCCCGGGGGCUCCCUCCCCACUUUUCCGAGAGCCGCUGGUUAACCGGCAGCAGUUGCAGCAACAGGCCCGGGUGAACGAGCAGGGACAGCCGCGGAGCCUCCUCAGAUCCCGCGCGCAGCCCAGCCCAAGACCCCGAGGCGCGCGGGGCCCGGCUCCCAAAACGCCCCCUUACCCCAGGCGGGAGCAGAGGCGGUCUCCGCCGCUCCCCGUCGCAGCUGCCAAAGCCACAGCCCUCAGCCGCAGCUGCCCCACGAUGGGGGAGUGGGAAGGGUGGCUGAGUGGAGGAUGCUACUCCCGACCGAACGGAGAGGAAGAAACGGAAACAGGAACCGCCGCCGCCGCUUAACGGAGCCUUCGGCGCCACUGACUGAGGCAGAGCGCGAGGCGGCGCGAGCCGGGCAGUCGCUGACAGCGCGAGACCGAGAGCGAGCUGGGUCCAGGGCGCGCGACCCUGAGCAGUGCCGGCCCCAUUCCGCGGGGAGACGAAGGGACGGGUCGGCUGGGGCCAGGCGGCGGGGGUGGGAUGGGGAGGGGGCCUGGAGAGGAGGGAACCGGCUGCUCGGGUCGGCCGGAGAUAACGCGCGCACGCGCCGGAGCGGCUCUGACAACGAGCGCAGGCGGGGAAGCCUCGGCCAGCGCCGGCGUGCGCGCGCGAAUGGGGGAGCGCGCCCCUCGGCGUUCCUGGCUUCUGGGAGAGGGCGCGCAUGCGCCGGCCGCUGCCACCUACGGCGACCCUGGCAUGUGCCAGGGAUUCUCCCCGCCCCCUUCCUCGCUGCGCCGGUGGAGAGCGUAGCAGCAGCAUCCACCGCCUAGCAGAGCCGCGGGCCACAGCGGGACGGCACAGUUCCAGCAGGGCAGCGGCUGCGCACGCCGGCUCCGGCUCGCACACAGGCGUAGGCCGCCCUCUACCGCCUGAAGGCCGGAGGCUGAGCGGGGCGCGAGCGGAUCCUGGAUCCCGGGAGGAGACUCGCCUCCAGAGAAUGCUGUGCUCCCUACAGCGCCGGGAAUGGACCGGCCCGUGCCAGCUCAGUCGGCGGCCCUAGGGGGCACCCGCACUAGAGGUUUUGAAGCUGGCUCCUUGCUACUUUUAGGGGUGCGCGCUGCUGCUGCUCAGCCCCUGCAGCCCGCAUUUGGCCGCUUGACUGCUGCUUCCAGCGCGAUCCUACAAUGGCAUCGCUCCCCCAGGAGACUCAGCGAAGCCCUACUUUAUCUUGUAAGAGCUGUUUCCACAUUCACUCGAAGAGAAAGACCCCCCCCACGAGGGCCUGAGUUCGAUGCCCGGCCUCUCCCGACCCGCGGCUGCGACAGCCCCUCUGAGGCGGAAGUUUAUUUAGUACGGGAAAGAGAACAGCACGGGGAGAGGGGAGAGGCUUUGCCCUAGGAUGCGUCCUACCCGCUCGGACUCGGAAAAUUCCCGGCGCCCGCGAUGCAGAGCAGUGGACCGAAGGGCUGCCCCAGAGCAGCCCAGACCGCCAGCUGAGCGGGAGGACCGGAGCGCGCCGCCCCAGCACACAAAGUAGUCGCGGGACGAGGGGUGCCGCCGAGGCCAAUCAGAGCUGCGCGCCGCGUGAGUGGAGUGCGAGCCGGCCAAUCAGAGGGCCGGAAGAUGAGCUUCCCGUUCCAAACUCUUCCCUGUAGCCUUGGGACCCAGAUCCCAAGCCUGGGGCGCUUUACGGUGGGAGAGCGAAAUGGUGCCCUUAAGACAAGAAUCAUUUCUCUAGGCUUGGGCAUUUUAAAGUACAUACCGGGGAUACUUAUCCCAAAGCAAGUAGCGGCGGCCUUUUAGAUGUUAAAUAUUAAAAGAUCACAGAAAGGAGAUUUAAGAGGCAGUGGCCUGUCAAGGUUGCAAUCUGCCUAAUAUUCAUAAAUUCACAUAUUUAUUGAGACCUUCUUAUGUACCAGGAACUCUAUCACAGAUACACAAAUAAGGUACUGCUGAUUCAAAAGAAAAUCCCUUGUCCUCAAGCAGCUCAGGUUGUGAGGGAGGCUUUCCUAGACCUUGAGACUCGUAUUUAUUGUCAGCUCUUUAAACAAAAAGCACUCUAUGAAGUGCUGUACUUUACAGUCGUUUUUAUGAUUAUCUCCCUGUGAGAAAAGAAAAUUGAAAGGAAAGUAGAGUGACUUGUCCAAGAUCACACAGAAGAUGUACUAGCAGAGCCAGAAUUAUGUUCUAGCUCAGUUUGGGUGUCAUCAUUCAAUAAAAUAAUUCAAUAACAAUUUGUAAAUGCAUGGAUGCUCUCUCCCAUGAGAUUUCUGUACUAAACGUAUAAGCAGGACAAAAUUCUGGUAUAAAAGUGACACACUUUGGUUGUUGGAAAUGAACACAAAUUUUAGACUUAUGUGGGAUUAAAGGUAAAAAUCUUACCAGUCAUACUUUAGAUAAUUUUUAGAAGUCAGAGGUGGGGUGGAUAUUUACUUCUUAGUUUAAACACAGCAUUUUAAAAAUAUUUUAACAAGCAAGCGUAACUUUUUUUUUUUAAGAUAGAAGAAGCAGGAAGGAUCACUUAAGCCCAAGAGUUCCAGGCUGCAGUGCCACAUCGUGCCUGUCAGUAGCCACUUCAGCCUGGGCAACAUAGCAAGACCCUCAUGUCUAAAAUUAAAAAUAAAAUUUAAAAAAAAGAACUACUUCUAGUUGGUUAAUAAUCAUGAUAGUUUACACUGUAUAAUACUUUGAGAUACCCAAGUACAAAGCUUUACAUUUGCCUAAAAAUUCCAUUUUUGUCUGGUGUUCCAUUUUUACUUCCAAAAUCCUAGGAAUUAAAGCACUUAUUUUCCCUACCUCCUUCCAACUGAAAAAAAAAAAAAAAAAAACCUGUCCUAGGAAUGUUUUGCCCAGGAUUUGGUGCAUUUGUAUAGAACAGUAUAAUAUACGUUAAAAUAACAAAUAACUUUGGUAUCUCUUGAAUACACUCAGAAACUAAUUCUUCAGUGGUUUUGAAGUCUGCUUUGUUGAAUCAAUGUGCUUCUCCACCUGUGAUGGAACAUUAUUAUCAAAACCCUUUCCAAGGCAGGCUCAGGAUUUAGCUGCCAUCCCAAAACUGGAGGUCUCUGUCAAACAACUGAUAUUUGAGAACAAGUCUUUACACAUUAAGUUCCAAGCCAAUCAUGAAUUUCCAGGAAAUUCACUUAUGAAAGGGAAUUUUAUACCCUGCCUCUUCUCAGUGUGGAUAACAGUCCCAGCUUUUAAAAAAUACAUUUAUUUUACUCUCUCCAGACAAGAAAAUUCCUAGAACUCAGUCGUUCUCUUGCCAGGUUAAAUUCUGAGAGAGAAGGAAUCCCCCAAAAGGUUCUAAACAUCACUGGCCAUCAGAAAGUAUCUGUGUCAAAAGCAUUUUUCCACAAGCUGCAGGUCCCACCCUGUUGCUGCGCUCUCUCAUUCUCUUCUCCCAACUGCUUGCCUCUGCUGCUCAUCACUGCCAGUUUGUAAUAGUUGCUUAAGUAAGUACAGGUACUCCACCUCUUACUCCACCCCUCCCUCACCAAACUAGGUUUUGGACCCAUCUUUGCUUAUCCCAAAAGUUAAAGACAAGUUCUGUUCAACAAAAGAUUAGACAGAACAAUCGUUAUGAUCUGUUAUACAACAAGUAACAGGGCCUUGUCAGUGCAUUGUUUUCUUGUAUAUAGCCUCGGUCAAAUUCUUAACCAUCAGCUAGAGCUAUGGGGACUCGGGUGUCCCGGGGCAAGAAGGAGUCAACCCUUAGACUAUGGAAAAGAUCAAAAUGAAAGUUAAAGUGAGUACAUGAGUGGCCAUUUUAUUGAGAGAUUAGCUAGAUCAAAGUUAAUGAACGUGAAUGCUAUCACAUUUCCUAAGUUGUGAACAUUCAUGUAGAAACUGGUUUGAAAUUUACUACCAUUUUAUUAUGACUGUAAUAAAAAUAAUAGCCAAAGUGUAAUAGUGCUGAGCACCAGGCCUCAUGCAAAACUCUUUACCUCCACCAUUUAAUUCUCAAAUCAAACCUUUGAGGUGGAUCCUGUUAUUACGGUGGGGAGAUCUGUGGAGUUCCAGCAAGGGGUUGAGGCACUCAGAAGGCUUAGCAUAAGCUACUUACCAAAUAGUUUAGAAAUUUUUCUAUCUCUACCAACGUGUACCAACUGACUGUCAGCCAUGGAAGCAUUCUGAAUAAUUGUUAAUUGUUCUCGUUGUUUUAUAAUUGUUGCUCUAGCUACAUUUCACUUACAGGAUCCGAUUUUCCAGGAAGUCAUCCAAAGGGCAGCAUUGUUAUUGCCAAGAGCAAGAAGGGGUGACCUUGAGAUAAUCAUUUUACCCAUCUGGGCCUCAGUUUUCUCAUUUGUAAAAUAAAAGGGUUGGACUAGGUAAGUUUUAGUUGUUCGUCAGUUCUAAAACUAUAAAUCUAGCCAACUUGACACACCAUUGACAAUAACUACAAAAAUGAAAUAUAGGGAAAAAAAGUCUAUAUUUUCAUUUUUAUUUUUUAGAGACAAGGUCGCAGAAUGUUGCCAAGGCUCGUCUUGAACUCCUGGCCUCAAGCUGUACUCUUGCCUCAGCCUCCUGAGUAGCUAAGAAUCUAUAUUUUCAAAUUCAAUGUGUUUUAAGUCACUUUUGAGCCAGCUCCUUAAACAAACUCUAUACCUACUCAUUAAAAAGCCAGAGCAAAUCUUUCCCAUUACAAGAGUAAAUGAAGUGAUUGAUUUAAAGACUGAUGAAACUAGCCAGACUAUCCCUCCCUAUGACUUGCCUCCAUGGCUGAAAUUUCUGUCUUCUCCACUGGGAUAAAGCAGCAUAUAGUUCACACUAUUGAUUUCUAAUUGAACAUUCACUCCCGUCCUUCCUUAUUAAUAGGGCUGUUUAUUUUUGUUUUCAUCUGCCAAUUCUUUAGGUAACCACCCAAAACUCCAACUACAGAAAGGCAACUCAAUUAGCCAAUAAAUGGGUUCCCUAAUAUGGUAGGAGAUUUAUCAUGCUUACUCUCUCUUUCCAGACAUACAAAAAGAUUAUAUUUUUCCACACCCACCCCCAGAUACCCUCCUCCCCUUGCAGUUGGGCUGGACCAUGUGACUGACUAGCUAUAGCCACCAGUCUGUAGUGGGUUGUGGGCAGAAGUGGUAUGUGUCAAUUCCAGGUAGAACAGUUCAUGGCCAGCGUAAGUCCUUACAGUGUUUACUCUUCUCCAGACUCAAGACCAGUAUUAUCUUGAAAGUAUCGGUAAAGCCUCUCUCGGCUUAACUUCCAAAAAAAAGGACAAGGUAGAGCAGCCUGCCUCCCAUUUUCAUCUGGUUUUAAUAAGAAAUACACCUUUGUAGUUUAAGCCACUGAGAUUUGGGGGCAUUUUUCAAUGCAGUAUGACCUAGCAUCUAGGUUAUGCUAGACUAGAAUAUGCUAGAAUUAGAAUAGUCCUAGACUAUUCUAAUUGAUACACUUGAAAACCAUUAGGACCAGGAUAAACUGGCCCAAUCAGACUGAAGGAAAGGAUUUUCAGUCCAUAUCUGGGGGAAGGAGUUCUCUCUUUCCUGCCAGAUAUGAGCAAGUCAACCUGUAACCCAGAUUGCCAUUGGCAGCAAUCUUGCAAGAGGAACUAACCUGAAAAUGAAGUCAACCUACUGGCGAUGGCAGACAGAUAGAAAACCCUUGCAGAUUUGAUUGAGCUGUGGUCAUACCACUCCUGAAAACUAUUCUUUCCUGGACUAUUAAUUCUACAAAAUAAUAAUUAUGUUUGUUUGUUCCCACCAUAACACUGUAAGCAAAAACUCUAUCUUGUAUAUCUUUAAUUUCAUCUCAGUUCCUAACACAGAUAUGUCUCAAGAAGCACUAAAACGUAUUGGAUAUAGCCAGCAAUUAUGGCUCAUACCUUCACCUCAACAUUUUGGGAAGCCAAGGUGGGAGGAUCACUUGAGGCCAGGAGUUCAAGACCAGGCUGGGCAACCAUAGCAAGACCCCUGUCUCUAUUUUUUUAAAUAUAUUGGAUACAUUAAAAACAUUUUAAUGUAAUAGAUCAUACUCUUGCCUUCAGAAAAAAAAGUAUUAUCUGUAUUAACAAGGAGAGAGAGUAAUUUGAUUCAAUCCAAUCUUCUUACAGAUGAAGAGAUUAAAACCUUGUAAGACAUUACAAGGUUUAUCAAGCUCAUAUAGCUUUGGUAUGGCAAAAUUGAAGUAGGGAAAUAGCUAAUAAUUUCUUCAUCAAAAUUGACCAUAGUUUCCAACUUAGGAUAGAGAAGUAUUGAGCCAGUAUAUUACUCUCAGACUUACUAGCUUUUUUGUAACCACAUCACACCAAUCUGGUUCAACUUUUAUGUAACAAAGUUGUGAGUUGUUUUUCAGUUACCAAUGGCCCCCCAGUUUGAAGGUCACCUAACCUGAACAUGCCCAGAUGAACCGAGUCUGCAACUACAGCGGGAACCUAAGUGCUCUGACUGAGGAGUGAGGACUGAAUUAAGAAGGGGACACCACAUUGUAGGAUCCAGGAUCUAAUCGUAUCAAGCUUGGCAUCACCCCAUGGCAGGAUCCAAUCAAAUCAUACCUCCCAGCAUCACCUCAUUGCAAGAUCCAAUCAGAUCACAUCUCAUGACUUUAUGCUUAUAAAACCUGGCCCAGGCCAGGCGCUGUGGCUCACACCUAUAAUCCCAGCACUUUGGGAGGCCGAUGUGGGCAGAUUACUUGAGGACAGGAGUUCAAGACCAGCCUGGCCAACAUGGUGAAACUCUGUCUCUACUAAAAAAAUACAAAAAUUAGCUGGGCGUGGUAGUGGGCACCUUUAAUCUCAGCUACUUGGAAGGCUCAGGCAGG